AUGGUGGACGACCAGUUCCGGCAGCUGCAGUCGCUGCAGGAGGAUGGCGGCAGCGUGUCGGGCUUCGUCGCCGAGGUUGCCACCCUCUUCAUCGACGACGCCGACUGGAUCAUCAACGACAUCGGCAGCCUGCUGGACGCCGGCGGAACCUAG
rnacentral:rRNA from 1 species